UUUAACGGAGAGUUUGAUUCUGGCUCAGAACGAACGCUGGCGGCGUGGAUAAGACAUGCAAGUCGAACGAGAUUUUCCGUUGUAGCAAUACGAUGGAAAGUCUAGUGGCGAACGGGUGCUUAACACGUGGGCAACCUGCCAUGAAGUGGGGGAUAGCUCGCCGAAAGGCGAAUUAAUACCGCAUGUGAUUAGAGAGGACAUCCUUUCGAAAUUAAAGUCGGGGCAACCUGACGCUUCUUGUGGGGCCCGCGGCCUAUCAGCUAGUUGGUGAGGUAAUGGCUCACCAAGG
rnacentral:rRNA from 1 species